rnacentral:tRNA from 9 species
UCGGGAUAGCUCAGCUGGUAGAGCAGAGGACUGAAAAUCC